UUAAGUGAAUAAGGGCGCACGGUGGAUGCCUUGGCACUAGGAGCCGAUGAAGGACGGGACUAACACCGAUAUGCUUUGGGGAGCUGUACGUAAGCUAUGAUCCAGAGAUUUCCGAAUGGGGGAACCCAGCAUCUUUAAUAGGAUGUUACGAUUGUGUGAAUACAUAGCACAUUCGAGGUAGACGCAGAGAACUGAAACAUCUAAGUACCUGCAGGAAGAGAAAGAAAAUUCGAUUCCCUGAGUAGCGGCGAGCGAAACGGGAAAAGCCCAAACCAGCAAGCUUGCUUGUUGGGGUUGUAGGACUCCAAUAUGGUAGUUCUUUCAGAUAGUCGAAUGACUUGGAAAAGUCAGUCAAAGAGGGUAAAAACCCCGUAGACGAAAUGUGGAAGACACCUAGGAGGAUCCUGAGUACGGCGGAACACGAGAAAUUCCGUCGGAAUCCGGGAGGACCAUCUCCCAAGGCUAAAUACUCCCUAGUGACCGAUAGUGAACCAGUACCGUGAGGGAAAGGUGAAAAGCACCCCGGAAGGGGAGUGAAAUAGAACCUGAAACCGUGUGCCUACAACAAGUCAAAGCCCGUUAAUGGGUGAUGGCGUGCCUUUUGUAGAAUGAACCGGCGAGUUACGAUUGCAUGCGAGGUUAAGUUGAAGAGACGGAGCCGCAGCGAAAGCGAGUCUGAAUAGGGCGUUUGAGUAUGUAGUCGUAGACCCGAAACCAUGUGAUCUACCCAUGUCCAGGUUGAAGGUGCGGUAAAACGCACUGGAGGACCGAACCCACGUACGUUGAAAAGUGCGGGGAUGAGGUGUGGGUAGCGGAGAAAUUCCAAACGAACUUGGAGAUAGCUGGUUCUCUCCGAAAUAGCUUUAGGGCUAGCCUCGGAAUUGAGAAUGAUGGAGGUAGAGCACUGUUUGGACUAGGGGCCCAUCUCGGGUUACCGAAUUCAGAUAAACUCCGAAUGCCAUUCAUUCAUAUCCGGGAGUCAGACUGUGAGUGAUAAGAUCCAUAGUCGAAAGGGAAACAGCCCAGACCACCAGCUAAGGUCCCAAAAUAUAUGUUAAGUGGAAAAGGAUGUGGGGUUGCACAGACAACUAGGAUGUUGGCUUAGAAGCAGCCAUCAUUUAAAGAGUGCGUAAUAGCUCACUAGUCGAGUGACCCUGCGCCGAAAAUGUACCGGGGCUAAACAUAUUACCGAAGCUGUGGAGUACACCUUUAGGUGUAUUGGUAGGAGAGCGUUCUAAGGGCGUUGAAGGCAGAUCGUGAGGACUGCUGGAGCGCUUAGAAGUGAGAAUGCCGGUAUGAGUAGCGAAAGACAGGUGAGAAUCCUGUCCACCGAAUGACUAAGGUUUCCUGGGGAAGGCUCGUCCGCCCAGGGUUAGUCGGGACCUAAGCCGAGGCCGAUAGGCGUAGGCGAUGGAUAACAGGUUGAUAUUCCUGUACCCGUUGUUUUUGUUUGAGCAAUGGAGGGACGCAGGAGGCUAAGGAAUGCAGACGAUUGGAAAUGUCUGUCCAAGCAGUAAGUCUGAAGAGGAGUCAAAUGCUUCUUUUCUUAAGGACAAGCUGUGAUGGGGAGGGAAAUAAUAGUACCGAAGUUCCUGAUGUCACACUGCCGAGAAAAGCUUCUAGUGAGAAAACAGCGGCCCGUACCGCAAACCGACACAGGUAGUCGAGGAGAGAAUCCUAAGGUGAGCGAGAGAACUCUCGUUAAGGAACUCGGCAAAAUGACCCCGUAACUUCGGGAGAAGGGGUGCUGAUCAUACGAUCAGCCGCAGUGAAUAGGCCCAAGCGACUGUUUAUCAAAAACACAGGUCUCUGCAAAAUCGUAAGAUGAAGUAUAGGGGCUGACGCCUGCCCGGUGCUGGAAGGUUAAGAGGAGUGCUUAGCGCAAGCGAAGGUACGAAUUGAAGCCCCAGUAAACGGCGGCCGUAACUAUAACGGUCCUAAGGUAGCGAAAUUCCUUGUCGGGUAAGUUCCGACCCGCACGAAAGGCGUAACGAUUUGGGCACUGUCUCAACGAGAGACUCGGUGAAAUUUUAGUACCUGUGAAGAUGCAGGUUACCCGCGACAGGACGGAAAGACCCCAUGGAGCUUUACUGUAGUUUGAUAUUGAGUGUCUGUACCGCAUGUACAGGAUAGGUAGGAGCCGUAGAAAUCGGAACGCUAGUUUCGAUGGAGGCGCUGGUGGGAUACUACCCCUGCGUUAUGGCCACUCUAACCCGCACCACUAAUCGUGGUGGGAGACAGUGUCAGAUGGGCAGUUUGACUGGGGCGGUCGCCUCCUAAAAGGUAACGGAGGCGCCCAAAGGUUCCCUCAGAAUGGUUGGAAAUCAUUCGAAGAGUGUAAAGGCAGAAGGGAGCUUGACUGCGAGACCAACAAGUCGAGCAGGGACGAAAGUCGGGCUUAGUGAUCCGGUGGUUCCGCAUGGAAGGGCCAUCGCUCAACGGAUAAAAGCUACCCUGGGGAUAACAGGCUUAUCUCCCCCAAGAGUCCACAUCGACGGGGAGGUUUGGCACCUCGAUGUCGGCUCGUCGCAUCCUGGGGCUGUAGUCGGUCCCAAGGGUUGGGCUGUUCGCCCAUUAAAGCGGCACGCGAGCUGGGUUCAGAACGUCGUGAGACAGUUCGGUCCCUAUCCGUCGCGGGCGUUGGAAAUUUGAGAGGAGCUGUCCUUAGUACGAGAGGACCGGGAUGGACUUACCGCUGGUGUACCAGUUGUUCUGCCAAGGGCAUUGCUGGGUAGCUAUGUAGGGAAGGGAUAAACGCUGAAAGCAUCUAAGUGUGAAGCCCACCUCAAGAUGAGAUUUCCCAUUUCUUUAAGAAAGUAAGAUCCCUGAGAGAUGAUCAGGUAGAUAGGUCAGGAGUGGAAGUACAGUGAUGUAUGGAGCGGACUGAUACUAAUCGAUCGAGGACUUAACCAA
rnacentral:rRNA from 1 species